rnacentral:rRNA from 1 species
UCCCCGAGAAGAUCACCCAGCUCGUCAUGCUAGAGCACUUUUUUAAUGUAACGAGAAGGCGACGACGCAUUUGUAUGUCAAUCCAUAUCAGCUUUCGAUGCCAUUGACUGCACCUACCAUGGUGACCACGGUAAUGGGGAAUCAGGGUUCGAUUCCGUACAGUGACCCUGACAAAUGGCUAUCACAUGCAAGGAAGGCAGCAGACGCGCAAAUGACCCACUCCCGACGCGGGAAGGUAGUGACGACAAAUAACAAUACAGGACUCUUUAGAGGCCCUGUAAUUGUAAUGAGUCCACUUGAAAUCCUUUAACUCUGAUCAAUUGGAGGGAAGUCUGGUGCAGAGCCACUGGCCCUUGCA